rnacentral:rRNA from 1 species
UACGAAGGGGGCUAGCGUUGCUCGGAAUCACUGGGCGUAAAGCGCACGUAGGCGGAUUGUUAAGUCAGGGGUGAAAUCCUGGAGCUCAACUCCAGAACUGCCUUUGAUACUGGCGAUCUCGAGUCCGGGAGAGGUGAGUGGAACUGCGAGUGUAGAGGUGAAAUUCGUAGAUAUUCGCAAGAACACCAGUGGCGAAAGGCGGCUCACUGGCCCGGUACUGACGCUGAGGUGCGAAAGCGUGGGGAGC